UACGUAGGGGGCAAGCGUUGUCCGGAUUUAUUGGGCGUAAAGAGCGUGUAGGCGGCCAAGCAGGUCCGCUGUGAAAGUCCAGGGCUCAACCCUGGGAUGCCGGUGGAUACUGUCGGGCUCGAGUCCGGAAGAGGCGAGUGGAAUUCCUGGUGUAGCGGUGAAAUGCGCAGAUAUCAGGAAGAACACCCGUGGCGAAGGCGGUCCUCUGGGACGGUACUGACGCUGAGACGCGAAAGCGUGGGGAGCGAACAGG
rnacentral:rRNA from 1 species